rnacentral:rRNA from 1 species
AAGGGGUAAAUUAAUAAAAUAAUUAUAAUAAAAAAAUUUUUAAAUAAUAAAUAUUAAUAUUUUAAUGGGGGUUAAAGUAUUUUAAUAGAAAAAAUUUAAAAAUUUAUAAUGAAUUAGUAUUGUAAAAGAAAUUUGAAAUAGUUUAAAUAAUAAUUUAUGUAAAAGUAUUUUUAUUUUAAAGUAUCUUGUGUAUCAGAGUUUAUUAAUAAAGAUUUUUAGAAAAAAAAUUCUCGAAUUUAAGAGAGAUAAUUAAUUAUUAAAGUUAUUGUAGCAUAAAUAUUUUAAAUAAUUAAUUUGAAAUGAAAUGUUAAUCGUUCUUAAAUAUAUCUAGUUUUUUUAGAAAAAAAUUUAAUUUUUAAUUUAAAUAAUAUUUAAUUAAUUAAUUAAUUAAAUAUUAUUUAAAUUUUAUAUUUUAAGGGAUAAGCUUUAAUUUAGAAAUAUAUAAUAAUUUUUUUUUAUUAAAUUGAAAUUUAUAUAAUUUAUAUUGUUAAUUAAUUUUAAUUUAUUAUAAAUAAUUUCAUAGAAAAUAAAAUUUAAUUUUAUAAAUUUAUAUUUUUAUAAAAAAAUAAAUUUUAAAAAUAAAAAUUUAGUUAUAAUGAUAAAAUUAGUAUAUAAUUUUAAUUAUUUGGUUUUAAUUAUAAUAAUUAAUUAAAAGGAAUUCGGCAAAAAUUUAUAUUCACUUGUUUAUCAAAAACAUGUCUUUUUGUUAAUAAUAUAAAGUCUAAUCUGCCCACUGAUUAAUAAUUAAAGGGCUGCAGUAUUUUGACUGUACAAAGGUAGCAUAAUCAUUAGUCAUUUAAUUGAUGACUUGUAUGAAAGAUUGGAUGAAAUAUAAGCUGUCUCUUAAUUAAAUUAUAAAAUUUAAUUUUUUAAUUAAAAAGUUAAAAUAAAUUAAAAAGACGAGAAGACCCUAUAGAGUUUUAUAAAUAUUUAUAUUAAGAUUAUUUUAUAAAUAAUAUUUAUUUUAAUAUGAGUAUUUAUUUUAUUGGGGUGAUAGAAAAAUAAGAAAAACUUUUUUUAAAGAUUAACAUAUAUAAGUGAAUAAAUGAUCCAAUUUUAUUGAUUAUAAGAAAAAAUUACCUUAGGGAUAACAGCGUAAUUUUUUUUUUUAGUUCAAAUAAAAAAAAGAGUUUGCGACCUCGAUGUUGGAUUAAGAUAAAAUUUAAAUGCAGAAGUUUAAAAUUUUUGAUCUGUUCGAUCAUUAAAAUCUUACAUGAUCUGAGUUCAAACCGGUGUAAGCCAGGUUGGUUUCUAUCUUUUAAAAAAUAAAAUAUUUUAGUACGAAAGGAUUAAAUAUUUAAAUUAAAUUUAUUUUUAUGAAUAUUUUUAAUAAAAUUAUAAAAUAAAAAUUAAAUAGUUUAUUUAA